rnacentral:misc_RNA from 1 species
UCAAACUUGGUCAUUUAGAGGAAGUAAAAGUCGUAACAAGGUCUCCGUUGGUGAACCAGCGGAGGGAUCAUUAGCGAGUAUACCGACCCGCCAAACCCCUGUGAAUCUACGAUAUAGCGUGUUGCUUCGGCCGGUUGCCCCAGGGCGGGGCCCGUGGCCUGGGUGACCAGGUGCCGGCCGACGGCAAGAACUGCUUUGGAGUGAACAUGGAGAGCUCUGAGUGGAACAAUGAUAAAUCUGUGGAAAACUUUCAACAACGGAUCUCUUGGUUCUGGCAUCGAUGAAGAACGCAGC